rnacentral:rRNA from 1 species
GAUGAACGCUGGCGGCGUGCCUAAUACAUGCAAGUCGAGCGAACAGACGAGGAUCUUGCUCCUCUGACGUUAGCGGCGGACGGGUGAGUAACACGUGGAUAACCUACCUAUAAGACUGGGAUAACUUCGGGAAACCGGAGCUAAUACCGGAUAAUAUAUUGAACCGCAUGGUUCAAUAGUGAAAGACGGUUUUGCUGUCACUUAUAGAUGGAUCCGCGCCGCAUUAGCUAGUUGGUAAGGUAACGGCAUACCAAGGCAACGAUGCGUAGCCGACCUGAGAGGGGGAUCAGCCCCACUGGAACUGAGACACGGUACAGACUCCUACGGGAGGCAGCAGUAGGGAAUCUUCCGCAAGGGGCGGAAGCCUGACGGAGCAACGCCGCGUGAGUGAUGAAGGUCUUCGGAUCGUAAAACUCUGUUAUUAGGGAAGAACAAAUGUGUAAGUAACUAUGCACGUCUUGACGGUACCUAAUCAGAAAGCCACGGCUAACUACGUG